rnacentral:rRNA from 1 species
AAGAAAUUUAAUAAUUUUGAAAAUGGAUUUUUUUGUUUUGGCAAGAGCAUGAGAGCUUUUACUGGGCAAGAAGACAAGAGAUGGAGAGUCCAGCCGGGCCUGCGCUUAAGUGCGCGGUCUUGCUAGGCCUGUAAGUUUCUUUCUUGCUAUUCCAAACGGUGAGAGAUUUCUGUGCUUUUGUUAUAGGACAAUUAAAACCGUUUCAAUACAACACACUGUGGAGUUUUCAUAUCUUUGCAACUUUUUCUUUGGGCAUUCGAGCAAUCGGGGCCCAGAGGUAACAAACACAAACAAUUUUAUUUAUUCAUUAAAUUUUUGUCAAAAACAAGAAUUUUCGUAACUGGAAAUUUUAAAAUAUUAA